GAUGAUCGCUGGCGGCGUGCCUAAUACAUGCAAGUCGAGCGAACGGACGAUAAGCUUGCGUCUCUGAUGUUAGCGGCGGACGGGUGAGUAACACGUGGAUAACCUACCUAUAAGACUGGGAUAACUUCGGGAAACCGUAGCUAAUACCGGAUAAUAUUUUGAACCGCAUGGUUCAAAAGUGAAAGACGGUCUUGCUGUCACUUAUAGAUGAAUCCGCGCUGCAUUAGCUAGUUGGUAAGGUAACGGCUUACCAAGGCAACGAUGCAUAGCCGACCUGAGAGGGUGAUCGGCCACACUGGAACUGAGACACGGUCCAGACUCCUACGGGAGGCAGCAGUAGGGAAUCUUCCGCAAUGGGCGAAAGCCUGACGGAGCAACGCCGCGUGAGUGAUGAAGGUCUUCGGAUCGUAAAACUCUGUUAUUAGGGAAGAACAUCUGUGUAAGUAACUGUGCACAUCUUGACGGUACCUAAUCAGAAAGCCACGGCUAACUACGUG
rnacentral:rRNA from 1 species